rnacentral:rRNA from 1 species
UACCGUGAGGAGUGCUGGAACGCAUAGAAGUGAGAAUGCCGGUAUGAGUAGCGAAAGACAGGUGAGAAUCCUGUCCACCGUAAGACUAAGGUUUCCAGGGGAAGGCUCGUCCGCCCUGGGUUAGUCGGGACCUAAGGAGAGACCGAAAGGUGUAUCCGAUGGACAACAGGUUGAUAUUCCUGUACUAGAGUAUGUAGUGAUGGAGGGACGCAGUAGGCUAACUAAAGCAGACGAUUGGAAGAGUCUGUCUAAGCAGUGAGGUGUGAAUUGAGUCAAAUGCUUAAUUCUAUAACAUUGAGCUGUGAUGGGGAGCGAAGUUUAGUAGCGAAGUUAGUGACGUCACACUGCCAAGAAAAGCUUCUAGCGUUUAAACAUACUCUACCCGUACCGCAAACCGACACAGGUAGUCGAGGCGAGUAGCCUCAGGUGAGCGAGAGAACUCUCGUUAAGGAACUCGGCAAAAUGACCCCGUAACUUCGGGAGAAGGGGUGCUGACUUAAAGUCAGCCGCAGUGAAUAGGCCCAAGCAACUGUUUAUCAAAAACACAGCUCUCUGCUAAAUCGUAAGAUGAUGUAUAGGGGGUGACGCCUGCCCGGUGCUGGAAGGUUAAGAGGAGUGCUUAGCGUAAGCGAAGGUAUGAAUUGAAGCCCCAGUAAACGGCGGCCGUAACUAUAACGGUCCUAAGGUAGCGAAAUUCCUUGUCGGGUAAGUUCCGACCCGCACGAAAGGCGUAAUGAUUUGGGCA